AUACGGAGGAUCCGAGCGUUAUCCGGAUUUAUUGGGUUUAAAGGGUGCGCGGGCGGCCAUUUAAGUCAGCGGUUAAAUCGUGGGGCUCAACCCCAUUCUGCCGUUGAUACUGGGUGGCUUGAUUGCGGUCGAGGCGGGCGGGACGUGGCGUGUAGCGGUGAAAAGCGUAGAUAUGCCACCGAAAGCCGAUAGCGGAGGCAGCUCGCCAGGCCUGCAUUGACGCUCGGGCACGAAAGCGUGGGGAUCGAACAGGAUUAGAUCCCCUGGUAGUCCACGCCGUAAACGAUGGGCGCUCGUCGUCGGCGGCAGACAGUCGGCGGCCAAGCGAAAGCGAUAAGCGCCCCACCUGGGGAGUACGGUCGCAAGGCUGAAACUCAAAUGAAUUGGCGGGG
rnacentral:rRNA from 1 species